AUGAAGUGUUGUGGUCGCAUUGGCCAUCAACCAACCACACUUGUGCAACGUAAUUGUACCCUGCGGUUGAGCGGUAGCUUGGCCGCGAAGGGCCGCUUCAUUGCGGCUCCGAAUAACCACGCUUAACAAAGUCUGAAUUGAACGAAACAAUGCUAGA
rnacentral:misc_RNA from 1 species